rnacentral:snoRNA from 1 species
UGAUGCACAUCAUAUUUCUCAACACCAGAGUUCACACUGUGAUGGCACAAUGAUUCCCCUGGCUGAUC